rnacentral:rRNA from 1 species
ACGGGAGGCAGCAGUGGGGAAUAUUGGGCAAUGGGCGCAAGCCUGACCCAGCAACGCCGCGUGAAGGAAGAAGGCUUUCGGGUUGUAAACUUCUUUUACCAGGGACGAAGGACGUGACGGUACCUGGAGAAAAAGCCACGGCUAACUACGUGCCAGCAGCCGCGGUAAUACGUAGGUGGCAAGCGUUGUCCGGAUUUACUGGGUGUAAAGGGCGUGUAGGCGGAGAUGCAAGUCAGGAGUGAAAUCUAUGGGCUCAACCCAUAAAUUGCUUUUGAAACUGUGUCCCUUGAGUAUCGGAGAGGCAGGCGGAAUUCCUAGUGUAGCGGUGAAAUGCGUAGAUAUUAGGAGGAACACCAGUGGCGAAGGCGGUCUACUGGACGAUUACUGACGCUGAGACACGAAAGUGUGGGGAGCAAACAGGAUUAGAUACCCUGGUA